rnacentral:rRNA from 1 species
UACAGAGGUCUCAAGCGUUGUUCGGAUUCAUUGGGCGUAAAGGGUGCGUAGGUGGUCGGGUAAGUCUCAUGUGAAAUCUCCAAGCUCAACUUGGAAAUGGCAUGGGAUACUAUUCGGCUAGAGGAUUGGAGGGGGGACUGGAAUUCCCGGUGUAGCAGUGAAAUGCGUAGAUAUCGGGAGGAACACCAGUGGCGAAGGCGAGUCCCUGGACAAUUCCUGACGCUGAGGCACGAAAGCUAGGGGAGCAAACAGG